ACACAGCAGACAAGUGGUGGAGCCAGGAUUAGAACUCCUGACCUUCUGACUUCCUGGUCUGUGCUGGAGCCACUACACCAUGAGAUCAACCUGCUGGAGGGGGAAGUGGGGAAGAUUAACAAGAUGGAGUCAACGUCGAGAGUCCCCAGGCUGAAAGGGUGGUGCUAUCAAUGCUGACCUCUCUUUUGGAGAAUGGGUUCUCUAAUUAAAGAUCGUGUGAUGCUUGGGAAAUAAUGAAGAUCCAUGAACUGUAAUAAGGAAUAGACACCAUAGCCACAGAGCUGUCCAGAAACAAUUAUUCUAAAUCAAAUCAGGGGUAAUGACAUCAAGGGAUGGAAGAUUUUGGCAAACCAACAGGCAUUUCAACACAUAGGAAACUUUCUGGAAGACCCUGGAGACUUUCUGGGGUGUUCUGAGUGAGGGCUGCUGCCUGAAUUUCAAGAUGGAAGCCCUGCUCUAGUCUCACCUCCCUGAGCUCAU